rnacentral:rRNA from 1 species
UACGUAGGGGGCAAGCGUUGUCCGGAUUUAUUGGGCGUAAAGCGCGUGUAGGCGGCCAGAUAGGUCUGCUGUGAAAACUCGAGGCUCAACCUCGAGCUGUCGGCGGAAACCAUCUGGCUAGAGUCCGGAAGAGGAGAGUGGAAUUCCUGGUGUAGCGGUGAAAUGCGUAGAUAUCUGGAGGAACACCGGUGGCGAAGGCGGCAUCCUGGACCAACACUGACGCUGAGUGAGCGAAAGCCAGGGGAGCAAACGGG